rnacentral:rRNA from 1 species
UACGGGGGGGGCAAGCGUUGUUCGGAAUUACUGGGCGUAAAGGGCGCGUAGGCGGCCUUCUAAGUCAGACGUGAAAUCCCUCGGCUCAACCGAGGAACUGCGUCUGAUACUGGAAGGCUUGAAUCCGGGAGAGGGAUGUGGAAUUCCAGGUGUAGCGGUGAAAUGCGUAGAUAUCUGGAGGAACACCGGUGGCGAAGGCGGUUCUCUGGGCCUUACCUGACGCUGAGGAGCGAAAGCGUGGGGAGCGAACAGG